rnacentral:rRNA from 1 species
AGCGAACGCUGGCGGCAGGCCUAACACAUGCAAGUCGAACGAUCCUUCGGGAUAGUGGCGGACGGGUGAGUAACACGUGGGAACGUGCCCUUUGGUUCGGAACAACUCAGGGAAACUUGAGCUAAUACCGAAUGUGCCCUUCGGGGGAAAGAUUUAUCGCCAUUGGAGCGGCCCGCGUCUGAUUAGCUAGUUGGUGAGGUAAUGGCUCACCAAGGCGACGAUCAGUAGCUGGUCUGAGAGGAUGAUCAGCCACCCUGGGACUGAGACACGGCCCAGACUGCUACGGGCGGCAGCAGUGGGGAAUCUUGAGCAAUGGGCGAAAGCCUGACGCAGCCAUGCCGCGUGAAUGAUGAAGGUCUUAGGAUUGUAAAAUUCUUUCACCGGUGACGAUAAUGACGGUACCCGGAGAAGAAGCUCCGGCUAACUUCGUGCCAGCCGCCGCAGUAA